rnacentral:rRNA from 1 species
CCUACGGGAGGCAGCAGUAGGGAACCUUCCACAAUGGGCGCAAGUCUGAUGGAGCAACACCGCGUGAGUGAAGAAGGUUUUCGGAUCGUAAAGCUCUGUUGUUGGUGAAGAACGUGCGUGAGAGUAACUGUUCACGCAGUGACGGUAUUCAACCAGAAAGUCACGGCUAACUACGUGCCAGCAGCCGCGGUAAU